AAGUCGAGGGGCAGCAUAAAGUACUUGUACUUUGAUGGCGACCGGCGAACGGGUGCGUAACGCGUAUGCAACUUACCUUUUACUAGAGAAUAGCCAAGAGAAAUUUUGAUUAAUGCUCUAUACUCUUCUUAACUCACAUGAGUUUUUAAGAAAAGCUCCGGCGGUAAAAGAUGGGCAUGCGUCCUAUUAGCUUGUAGGUGAGGUAACGGCUCACCUAAGCUCCGAUAGGUAGGGGUCCUGAGAGGGAGAUCCCCCACACUGGUACUGAGACACGGACCAGACUUCUACGGAAGGCAGCAGUAAGGAAUAUUGGACAAUGGAGGAAACUCUGAUCCAGCGAUGCCGCGUGAAGGAAGACGGCCCUAUGGGUUGUAAACUUCUUUUAUACAGGAAGAAACCUUUCCACGUGUGGAAAGCUGACGGUACUGUAAGAAUAAGGAUCGGCUAACUCCGUGCCAGCAGCCGCGGUAAUACGGAGGAUCCAAGCGUUAUCCGGAAUUAUUGGGUUUAAAGGGUCCGCAGGCUGUUUGUUAAGUCAGGGGUGAAAUCCUACCGCUCAACGGUAGAACUGCCUUUGAUACUGGCAAACUUGAGUUAUUGUGAAGUAGUUAGAAUGUGUAG
rnacentral:rRNA from 1 species